CUAUAUCCAAAAAAUCUAUUUCUCCCUAAAUCAAAAUCCACACGGUUGGCACUCUGUCGUCGUCUCAUCAUCUCCGGCUGCACUUCAAUUGAAGGUGUCGCCACCACCCCGGUAGCAAUUCCAUUGCCAUUGAAUAGUUCACAUUCUCUUAUCGUGCUUCAACAAAAGGUUUUUCCUCUAUUUCAGUUGCACUUCAAGCUAUGGUUUCACCGCCUCUCGCUUCACCUUCUCCGGCCGUUUGCUAAAUUAACACUACGAUUCUCUCUAUCUCCUAUCAAUUUUAACUUGUUUGGUUUGCACGGGUACAUAUGAAAAUACCCUCCAUCUCACUGCUUUGUGAAGAGAAUUGCUUCAAAUGUCAUUUACAUACUGACUGAAAUUUUUGAGUAACAAAAAUUCUUAUUGUAGAAUUUUACCCUUUCGGACCUGGACUUUGGAGAAGAAAAUGAGAUUGAAGUGAAGAGCAAAGAAAAAAAAAUUAAAAUUAGAUGAUCUUCAGUCAUCUUCGAAAAAGCAUUUUUUGAUGUUUUUAUACUGCAUAAUUCUUUUGAUAAUUCUCCAUGUUGGACAAAUGUUCGUGUAAGUAAUUUAUAAAGUUUCGAAGAAAUUUAUUUUUUCUUCUAUCUGUGAGAUAAAAUAUUGUGUGACUACUAUUAUUAAAUGGUAUUGUUUUUCUGUCCAUUGGAAGAUUUAUAUUUGAUUGAAAAUUUCUCCAAAUUCGAUAAAUUUAUUUUUAAUUUCUUUCCAUAUUAAGGACAUGCCGAUGAAGGUCCUCUAUGUUGUGCUUAACUGUAUGUUCAUAAUCCACCGCUUGCCCAACAAAUUUAAACAAUAAAAAUACUCUUCUGCCAUUUGAAGUAAUUGAGCUUAUCUGUUUCUUGAUUUCUUGUAAUGUGGUUUAAUUGCUUUAUGUGAUGUCUAGUUACUCUAAAAAGAGUUUCAAGUUCCAGUGGAUCAUCUAUGCAUGUUUUGUAUCUACUUAUUUAUUUGAAUCAACCAUGAUCCAUGGUUUAUUCCCCUCGUAGAUUAGGCCUAAGGAAUUAUGUAAUUUGUCAUUGUAGAGCUAAAGGCCACUCUUUCGUCAAAUGCCCACGAAACGUCGAUGCCCAUUAUGCAAGCAUAGAUUCGAGAAGUAUUUCAUGGUGGAAAAAGACACAGUCAACAAAGGUCAAUUAUUUCUUUGUUACAGUGACAAUUGUGGAUUUUGGGUCUGGGUUGUAAUAAAAGAAUCAAGCGGUCAAUCCUCUAGUGAUAGCACUUCCUUAGUUAACCCGACGGCGAACAAAUGAGUUGAAGAUAUGGAACACAUGUUCCAAUCUCGAGUAAUGAUGAAGAAGAACUAGAAAUUUCGAUGACCAUAACGAUCUACAAGGCAAAAGGUAGGACAGAAGAGAACGUAAAAGGAAAGGGGUCGACAUGAUUAGUAGAAAUUAAUUGAACGGUUAAUCACAUGGAAAUUCUCACUGUUUCCAAAUCUUCCCAUGAAGGGGAUUUAGACAACUAAAUCUUUUGUUUUGUGUUAUUGUGUAAGAUUGUUUCUG
rnacentral:lncRNA from 1 species